rnacentral:tRNA from 1 species
GGAGAGGUGGCGGAGUGGCUUAACGCAACUGCCUGGAAAGCAGUGGUCCUGAGUGGGACUCGAGGGUUCGAAUCCCUCCCUCUUCGCCA